UCAGUCUUCCUAGAUAGAAUUCGUCGGUGGAUAACCUGGUUAUCCCCGUGUACUGUUAGGGUGGCCACG